rnacentral:rRNA from 1 species
GACGAACGCUGGCGGCGUGCUUAACACAUGCAAGUCGAACGGAAAGGCCCUGCUUGCAGGGUACUCGAGUGUCGAACGGGUGUGUAACACGUGUGUGUUCUGCCCUGCACUUCGGGAUAUGCCUGUGAAACUCUGUCUAUUACCGGAUAUUACCUUCCAUGUUGUGUGGGGUUUUGAAAGAUUUAUCGGUGUGGGAUUAGCCCGCGGCCUAUCAGCUUGUUGGUGGGGUAAUGGCCUACCAAGGCGUCGACGGGUAGCCGGCCUGAGAGGGUGGACGGCCACAUUGGGACUGAGAUACGGCCCAGACUCCUACGGGAGGCAGCAGUGGGGAAUAUUGCACAAUGGGCGGAAGCCUUAUGCAGAGACGCCGCGUGGGGGAUGACGGCCUUCGGGUUGUAAACCUCUUUCGACAGGGACGAAGAUUAGGUGACGGUACCUGUAGAAGAAGCACCGGCUAACUACGUG